rnacentral:piRNA from 1 species
UGAUUGGUGCGUUUACAAUCCCUGAGU